ensembl:lncRNA
ACUGAACAGUCCACUCUUUAAAUCCCCAUCUCUCCAAUUUAGAGAUAAGGAUAUGAUGCAAGACAACAUCAAAGGUCUUGCACAAGUCCUGGCAGACAACGUCAGUUGCCCUUCUUUUGUCCACCGAUGCCUCCACUUCAUGAUAGAAGGCCACCAAUUUGGUGCCAGAGCAAUUGCUUCCCAUUGGGAGUGCUUAAGUGUGUCCUGUCCUUCCCUGGGAUAACUGGUCUGUAAGGGCGUUAUUCUGGAUGUUUUUAACGGGAAAAGGAUUGAGAGGUUUUGAGGUAUGCUGCUAGUUUCUGCAGGACAUGAUAUUCUUCCUCACUUGCCAUGGAGCAAGAGGCAUUCCCAUGGCAAUUCACCCCACAGGCUUCUGUGUCACUCUGUUUCCUUUUGGGACAAUUCAUAGCCCAUGGACACUGGCUGGAGGUUCUUCCUUGCCUUUGACAAUAGCACUUUGUGCCUCUGUUUAUAGGAACUGGUAGUUCUUAAAAAGCUGAGUGAGGUCUUACACAGGAGGAUGGGAACACUAUGUUCUUUUCUGUUUAUAAUGACUGCCCUGCAGGAUCUGUGGUGAGAUCCAGGCAUCACCUCUUCUUGAGGCUGCCUUGUGCUGUUGCGAGGCCACAUGAGGAUGCAGAUGUGGGCUAAGUCCCUUAACACAACUGAGGAGACAAAGACUUGAUUAUAGAUUUGGAAAUCUUUCCUGCUCUUUCUCUGCAUUUUGCUCUUGUUUUUAACCACUGAAAAUCUUUGGAUAUUUUUUUUUUCUUGUGAAAACAUGGGACACAGUAAGACGCUACAGUCAUUAUGCAUCAAACAACCAGUUUAGCUAAAGUCACUCUGUUUCCAGCCCAGCUGUGAGCCAUUGAGCACUAGGACUUGAGCCUGCCUUUUCCAAUUUAUAGGGCCCCAGGGAGACGAGACUGAGGCAUUCAAAUAGAUAAAGGGGCCUAUAAAAAAAAGUUGGGGAGAGACUAUAGUAAUGGAACAAGGGUUUAAGGACAAUUUUGAACUAAAACAGUAGAUUUAGACUAGAUAUAGGGAGGAAAUUCUUUACUCAGUGGACAGUGAGAUACUGACACAGGUUGCCCAGGGGAGCUAUGCCUGUCACAUCCCUGAAGGUAACCAAGGCCAGGUUGUAUGGGGCCCUGGGCAGCCUGAUCUGGUGGAGGGCAGCCAGCCCAUGGCAUGGAGCUGGAGUUGGAUGGGCUUUAAAGUCCCUUCCAACCCAACCCAUUCUGUAUUUCCAUGAUUCUAAGUCAGCUGCCCAAAUGCUGGCAUUUAGCAAAAUUCCUCCUGGGACCUGAACAACCUUUUGCAGGCAGAAUUUCAGCAAAGUGAGUGCAUUGCCACAGAAAGUGCUGGCUCAUUUCUGAAGUUCAGGU